AAGAAUUAAGCACAAUAUAAAUUAAGAGUAAGCCAUGGAUUUGCUUUGAAAAUGUCUCUCUCGAGUUUGCAGGUAUUUGUUCAUUUUCAUACGUGUUGUUGGAUGAAAUUCUAAAUAAAAUGUGGAUCUGUAAAAAUUUUGUAUUUGGAAACAAUCUGUAAACAAAAUUUUUAAGUGUCGUUUUGAAAAUGCAAUAUGUUUUCACAUAAAUCUAUGUUUAAAUGAUGUGCCGGAAACUAAAAAUAAAUGUUUAGGAAAGGAGCUGCUCGAAUAAGGUUCUAUGUGAAUGACGUAAUGAAUGUUUGUAGUGUUGAUUUGUUCAAUUCACCAAAACAAUAAAUAAAUAUAGAAAAAGAAAA